rnacentral:rRNA from 1 species
AUUGAACGCUGGCGGCAGGCCUAACACAUGCAAGUCGAGCGGAUGAAGGGAGCUUGCUCCUGGAUUCAGCGGCGGACGGGUGAGUAAUGCCUAGGAAUCUGCCUGGUAGUGGGGGAUAACGUCCGGAAACGGGCGCUAAUACCGCAUACGUCCUGAGGGAGAAAGUGGGGGAUCUUCGGACCUCACGCUAUCAGAUGAGCCUAGGUCGGAUUAGCUAGUUGGUGGGGUAAAGGCCUACCAAGGCGACGAUCCGUAACUGGUCUGAGAGGAUGAUCAGUCACACGGGAACUGAGACGCGGUCCAGACCCCGACGGGAGGCAGCAGUGGGAAAUAUUGGACAAUGGGCGAAAGCCUGAUCCAGCCAUGCCGCGUGUGUGAAGAAGGUCUUCGGAUUGUAAAGCACUUUAAGUUGGGAGGAAGGGCAGUAAGUUAAUACCUUGCUGUUUUGACGUUACCAACAGAAUAAGCACCGGCUAACUUCGU